rnacentral:rRNA from 1 species
ACUCCUACGGGAGGCAGCAGUGGGGAAUAUUGCACAAUGGGCGCAAGCCUGAUGCAGCGACGCCGCGUGAGGGAUGACGGCCUUCGGGUUGUAAACCUCUUUCGCCAGGGACGAAGCGCAAGUGACGGUACCUGGAUAAGAAGCACCGGCUAACUACGUGCCAGCAGCCGCGGUAAUACGUAGGGUGCGAGCGUUGUCCGGAUUUAUUGGGCGUAAAGAGCUCGUAGGCGGUUUGUCGCGUCGGCCGUGAAAUCUCCACGCUUAACGUGGAGCGUGCGGUCGAUACGGGCAGACUUGAGUUCGGUAGGGGAGACUGGAAUUCCUGGUGUAGCGGUGAAAUGCGCAGAUAUCAGGAGGAACACCGGUGGCGAAGGCGGGUCUCUGGGCCGAUACUGACGCUGAGGAGCGAAAGCGUGGGGAGCGAACAGGAUUAGAUACCCUGGUAG